CCUACGGGAGGCAGCAGUGGGGAAUAUUGGACAAUGGGGGCAACCCUGAUCCAGCCAUGCCGCGUGUGUGAAGAAGGCCCUCGGGUUGUAAAGCACUUUCAGUGAGGAAGAACGCCUGGUGGUUAAUACCCAUCAGGAAAGACAUCACUCACAGAAGAAGCACCGUCUAACUCCGUGCCAGCAGCCGCGGUAAUACGGAGGGUGCGAGCGUUAAUCGGAAUUACUGGGCGUAAAGCGCGCGUAGGUGGCUUGAUAAGCCGGUUGUGAAAGCCCCGGGCUCAACCUGGGAACGGCAUCCGGAACUGUCAAGCUAGAGUGCAGGAGAGGAAGGUAGAAUUCCCGGUGUAGCGGUGAAAUGCGUAGAGAUCGGGAGGAAUACCAGUGGCGAAGGCGGCCUUCUGGACUGACACUGACACUGAGGUGCGAAAGCGUGGGUAGCAAACAGGAUUAGAUACCCUGGUAGUC
rnacentral:rRNA from 1 species